rnacentral:rRNA from 1 species
AACGAACGCUGGCGGCGCGUUUAAGCAUGCAAGUCGAGCGGCAAGGGCCUUCGGGCCCCUAGAGCGGCGGACGGGUGAGUAACACGUGGACAAUCUGCCCCCCGGCCCGGGAUAGCCCAGGGAAACCUGGAUUAAUACCGGAUGAGACGGGACCUGCGAUGGCGGGAUCCGGGAAAGGCGCUACGGCGCCGCCGGGGGAUGAGUCUGCGUCCCAUUAGCUAGACGGUGGGGUAACGGCCCACCGUGGCGACGAUGGGUAGCCGGCCUGAGAGGGUGGACGGCCACAUUGGAACUGAGACACGGUCCAGACUCCUACGGGAGGCAGCAGCUAAGAAUCUUCCGCAAUGGGCGAAAGCCUGACGGAGCGACGCCGCGUGAACGAAGAAGGCCGUGAGGUCGUAAAGUUCUUUUCGGGAGGGGGAACAACCGUGGCAGGGAAUGGCCGCGGGAUGACGUGAAUCCCGGAAUAAGCCCCGGCUAACUACGUGCCAGCAGCUGC